UGGAGUGUAGCACAGUGGGUAAGGAAUUGGGGCUUGUAACCGAAAGGUCGCAGGUUCGAUUCUCGCAGGUUCGA
rnacentral:tRNA from 1 species